rnacentral:rRNA from 1 species
CACGUAGGGGGCAAGCGUUGUCCGGAUUUAUUGGGCGUAAAGAGCUCGUAGGCGGUCUGUCGCGUCGGGAGUGAAAACUCAGGGCUUAACCCUGAGCCUGCUUCCGAUACGGGCAGACUAGAGGUAUGCAGGGGAGAACGGAAUUCCUGGUGUAGCGGUGAAAUGCGCAGAUAUCAGGAGGAACACCGGUGGCGAAGGCGGUUCUCUGGGCCGUAACUGACGCUGAGGAGCGAAAGCAUGGGGAGCGAACAGG